GACGAACGCUGGCGGCGUGCUUAACACAUGCAAGUCGAACGGAAAGGCCCUGCUUUUGUGGGGUGCUCGGGUGGCGAACGGGUGAGUAACACGUGAGUAACCUGCCCUUGACUUUGGGAUAACUUCAGGAAACUGGGGCUAAUACCGGAUAGGAGCUCCUGCUGCAUGGUGGGGGUUGGAAAGUUUCGGCGGUUGGGGAUGGACUCGCGGCUUAUCAGCUUGUUGGUGGGGUAGUGGCUUACCAAGGCUGUGACGGGUAGCCGGCCUGAGAGGGUGACCGGCCACAUUGGGACUGAGAUACGGCCCAGACUCCUACGGGAGGCAGCAGUGGGGAAUAUUGCACAAUGGGCGGAAGCCUGAUGCAGCAACGCCGCGUGCGGGAUGACGGCCUUCGGGUUGUAAACCGCUUUCGCCUGUGACGAAGCGUGAGUGACGGUAAUGGGUAAAGAAGCACCGGCUAACUACGUG
rnacentral:rRNA from 1 species